GCUGGGUGUGAUGUCUAAUGCCUGUAAUCCCAGCAGUUUAGGAGGCUAAGACAGGAGGAUCACGAGUUCAAAGCUAGCCUCAGCAAAAAUGAGGUGCUAAGCAACUCAGUGAGAUCCUAUCUCUA
rnacentral:sRNA from 1 species